GCGAAACGUGGUGAGUGGGUAUGAAACGCGGUGAAACCGCCUGGUUACCUGGCUUCGAACCAGGUGGUCGGGAGUUCGACAAAACGGCAGGACAGCCGUUUUGGACCGCGAAGCGACCCGCAGGGCGAGGGCCAUGGAUGGCCCGAGUCAAUCUCUCCGGGCGCGCCA
rnacentral:tRNA from 2 species